rnacentral:lncRNA from 1 species
GGGUUCUUAGGGCUGGAAUAAAGAGCUCAGUGUUCCAGUCCGCGUGCUGCGUGACAGCGCUGAGUUAUUCCAGCCGUGACUUUCCAUAGUGCCCACAAGCUUGGAUGCAUCGUUUUUUGCAUGGAUGGGCUGAAAUGGGAAGGCUCCAUCUCAGAGGAGUGUCCUGGCGAUCUACCUGGAUAGGAACUGGAUUCUGCAGUCCUGAGUCAUGGUCAUGA